rnacentral:rRNA from 1 species
UACGAAGGGGGCUAGCGUUGUUCGGAUUUACUGGGCGUAAAGCGCACGUAGGCGGCUUUGCAAGUCGGAUGUGAAAUCCCUCGGCUUAACCAAGGAAGUGCAUCCGAAACUGCAGAGCUUGAGUACUUAAGAGGAUCGCGGAAUUCCCGGUGUAGAGGUGAAAUUCGUAGAUAUCGGGAGGAACACCAGUGGCGAAGGCGGCGAUCUGGGAAGAUACUGACGCUGAGAUGCGAAAGCGUGGGGAGCAAACAGG